GCUGGGCAUGGUGGUGUGUGCCUGUAGUCCCAGCUACUCAGGAGGUGGAGGCAGGGGGAUUGCUUGAGACCAGGAGUUCAAGGCUGCAGUGAGUUAUGAUCAUGCCACUGCCCUCCAGCCUGGGUGACAGAGCAAGACCUUGUCUCAA
ensembl:misc_RNA Metazoa_SRP Metazoan signal recognition particle RNA